rnacentral:piRNA from 1 species
UGAUAAGGUGGUUCACCAGUCUCAGA